rnacentral:rRNA from 1 species
UUGACCUCAAAUCAGGUAAGGACUACCCGCUGAACUUAAGCAUAUCAAUAAGCGGAGGA